ACAUUAUUAAAGACUACCGGUUAUGACACUCGGCUUGUAAUCGAGUGGGUUCGGGUUCGAAUCUCGAAUAAGGCA